CUCAGAUUCAGAAUCAGCACCCAAAGAACGGAAAGAUGUGCUCCUGUUCGCUUCCAUCCCAGGAAUCUCUAUUCCAUCAAAAACAGGAUCUGACUCUUCCUUGGCAAGAUUGUCCCCCAUAGUUAGCUCUGUUCCUUCUUCAGGUUUAGACUCUAAAUUCUUACCCUGACCCAGGUCAAACUGUUGAAUAUCAUCAUUUAACUUUCCUCCUUGAUUUUUAGACUCCAUAUCUCUACUCCCAUCCAUCUUGCUCAAGUCACCAUGUCCAAUACCAUCCCCUAUCUUAUCUCCUUGACAUUUGCAUUCCAAUACACUAUUAUUGUCAAUAUUUUCACCAGUGUCAUCCUUCCC
rnacentral:misc_RNA from 1 species